AUGAGAACUAAAGCAGUUGCUGCAAGGGGGAAGCACCCUGAUGAUAUCAUUAGUAACGAGAAUAGUAACGAGAGCCAAGCUGUAGAUGCUCAGAACAAAAAUGUUGAAUGUGCAGACGUCGACCAACCUCCAAAAGCAAAACGCCAGAAGACGGGAGGAACUGAGGGUCGUAGGAACAGGGCAUCCCCUACAAGGCUCUUCAAGUUGAACAAGGACUUGGUUCCUGACCAAAAGGGUGUCAUCAUCGGAAGAGAAUUUGGUGUCAUUCUGGAUCUUGCAGCGAGUAGCAUGCCCGGAGAUUUUAGCCAGUGGAUAAUGAAGCAUUAUGACCCGGAGAUUUCGCAGAUAGUCAUUCCAGAAAGGGGAAGAUUCCUGUAG
rnacentral:rRNA from 1 species